CAUCCAGGCAGUGGUUUGCAGUGGCAAAUAGCAAAAUGCACACAACUUUGUUCACAAAUGUCAUGAUUUAGCAGAUGUCUGCAGUUAAAAUAGUACAGAGAUAAGAGACAAGUUCUAGCCUGGACGCCAGCCUGAAUUUACCCCCAGACUCCAUAUGCCUCCAUAUGCCCUGUUAAGAUGUGUACGGAGCAAUUGCUUUGGUGGGCUACAUACAGGCGAACAGUUUCAGGGAAGACGGAGGAAAAAAAGAUCGGUUUCGUACGUGUGGACUAGCCCUAAAUUUACCAGUUUUUUCAUUCUUAACCUGGUUGGUGUCAGAAGGAAGAGCAGCGGCAUGGACCCCAAUGCAUUAUAUUGUUCCUGAGUGGUUCUAAUCCAUUGGAUACAUCUGGUACAGGAUCUAACGACAGACCCAGAGGUGUAAAA